ensembl:lncRNA
GUUAACCAUUGUUUCUUUUGGGAUUUAUUCAACAUAUUUUCUAAGUCGAAAGAUAUGAUUGCAGAAAAGAGAAUCAUCCAAGCGUUAUUAUUGAUCAAUAUUUCAUUUAAACUUAAGGGAGCUUAAUAAAAGUUUUCAAAUGGAGAAAAAAGAUUAUUAUUAGCUGUGAGUGCCCAUUCAAAUAAAAGCAAACUGUCAAGCCAUUAGUUGAAAGAGAAUUCACACUGAGGUUUGAUGUAGGUUAAGUAUCCCCAGUGGGAGCACCCAUACUGGCAAGCCUUGAUGGAAGACCGCUCUACUUUUAGUAGGCCAUUCUACUGCCUGGGCACAUUAACAGCCCUUAUGGAAGACCGCUCUACUUUUAGUAGGCCAUUCUACUGCCUGGGCACAUUAACAGCCCUUAUGCCAAUGGAGGCACUAGGACAGAAGAGAUAAGCACCAACUAAAUAUAAUUCUUCACGCAUGCUACAUGUUCCCCUCAAAAAAACGUUAUCUUGCUGAGCCAGUAAGAUAAGAUCUUGCAUACAUGCAGAACAUGAUUUUAUUAUUUGAUGUUAAAAUAACGUCUUAAUUUAAGCCUACAGAUUUUUAACUGAGUUGUAUGUGAAAUGUCAAUAUACACUUUACCUAUUUAAUUAAGCUUAAUAAUAUAUAUACAUUUUACACAAAUCAUAGACAUAACUAAUGACAUGUUUAUUUUCAAUUGGCUUUAAUUCUUUUGAAUUUCAAUAGGGCUUGUACAUCAGAAGGCAUCAUGGGAUUAUUUUGUUGGCGAUAUUCUGACCUUUCGAGAGUACUCAAGAGAGUUGUAAUGUAAAAUCCAAAAUAAACAUAAAUAUAUUGUUUCCGAAGCUAAUCAGAUUGUUUUGCCACAUCUCACAUGAGGAACACCACGUGAAAAAUACUUAGAAAUUAAUUAAUAAACAAUGACCAAAACACUACCGUUAACAAUAUUAUGCUUCCAAAAUGGAGGCGGUAAUUGCGAUGUGACGUCACAAUGUACAAGCCCUAAAGCCACUGAUUGACUAUGCAUACAUACACAAAUACAAGCAACUGCUUCAAUUAAGUUCUUGGAAAUCAGUUGAAAAUACUUGAAAUACAUGAACUUCACAGUCAUUUUUUGUAUAACACUCUCUACAACUCUAUAUUAAUUGUGAAUAUUUAUAUUGUAGCCAUGCUAAGAGGCUACUGCUGAUCAUUGAAGUUCAUCUUCGGUGAAGUUUUGGCUUUGACUUGUCAUUGGUGGUUGUGGGCUUCAGCUUUACCGUAGCGAACGGAUUGGUUCCCCUGCACAAAUACAGGAAGAAAUGAGCAGCCGAGACAUACAGUAUACUAUCAGUGAAACACAUUUUGUCUGUUUUUCCAAAAUUACUUCAUAAGAAAAAAAAUACACGCAAAAGGCCAAUAUCCCAAAUAAUGCAAUGAAAUGGAAUUUAGUGAAAGGGGGGAGGGGAGAAGUUUGAAUUUGUGUUUCCAACAACACAGGACCCAGAGAUGAAUCACAUAACAUAGGCAAUGUGAGGACAAACCCCGAGGGAUUGUGGUUUGAUUCCCUAAAGGGAUAUUAGAAAAGGGUGAAAGAGGUGAAAUUUGAACCUCACCAACACCGAAUAAAAAUAAAUAAAUAAAGUAAUCAUGUCUGAAGUGUUUGUCGGGAGUAAAAAACAUUAAUAGCCACUGUUGUCAAAACGACUGCCAGCUGUAAUGGCUUUUCCUCCACGACACCGGUGCUCAAAAGUGAUAGAAAGCAAUCCAACGUCAUUUACACACCGGUCCCCCGUUUGCACUUUAUGAUUUCAUGGUUUCAUUGAACACUUCAACUGAAAGAAAAAACACCCCACCCUCCACUUGGAAGAUAAAUGCAAUAGCCUGAAAUUGAACUGUCUGAAAUGUCUCUGCUGUCCCAUUUUGUAUAUACAGUAUAUAUGUAUAUGUGUAUAUAUAUAUAUAUAUAUAUAUAUAUAUAUAUAUAUAUAUAUAUAUAUAUAGAGAGAGAGAGAGAUAUAGAGAGAUAUUUAUAUAUGUGCAUGACGGUUUCAUAACAGAGUUUGGACCCUUACCUUGGGAAGAGUUCUGGUUUCGACCCAUGCUCCUCUCUUCGCUGUAUAGGAGGAUAUGGGAAUGGAAAGACACAUUAUUGUUUGGCCCCAAUGAGGCAGGCUACCAUGGCUAUUACUGGGACUCAAAUUUGUUCUCAUCUGACAUUUAAAUGCUAUCACCUACUAUCUACUAUUUAGUAAUUUGAGCUUUUAUCCAAAGCACCUUACAGUAAACAGAUCAGAGCAGACACAUUUUCUAUGGAGUGAGUUGGGGUUAGGGCCGUUUGCUCAACGAUGACGACAGGCAAGUUGUGGUCAUCGGGAAUCCAACUGAACAUAACCUCUCAGAGCACAUAGCAUUUAAAGGCCAGGUAAAGAGGUCAACCCCAUAAUGAGCCCUCCAGCAUAGCGCUGGACACAAGGCUGGGUUUUCGGAAUGAAGCGAGCUCAUAGCCCUCACAAAAUGUGGACUUUGGAAUGAAGAAUGGUGGUGUCGUUUAGAUUUAGUUGGUUUUGGAAUGUCAAACAAAGCUGUAAUCUGAUUGGACGCAUUUAGAGAGGGCACCGCCAACCGGGUUCAAAGUUUAGAUUGUUUUAACUGUGAGCAUCACUGCGCUAAAAUGGAUAAUCCGAGCGCUUUGCUCCGCCCAGGGUGGGGUCAACGCUAGGUUGGGCUCCAUAUGAA